UACGUAGGGUGCAAGCGUUAAUCGGAAUUACUGGGCGUAAAGCGUGCGCAGGCGGCUUUGCAAGACAGAUGUGAAAUCCCCGGGCUUAACCUGGGAACUGCAUUUGUGACUGCAUGGCUGGAGUGCGGCAGAGGGGAUGGAAUUCCGGCGUGUAGCAGUGAAAUGACGUAGAUAUGCGGAGGAACACCGAUGGCGAAGGCAAUCCCCUGGGCCUGCACUGACGCUCAUGCACGAAAGCGUGGGGAGCAAACAGG
rnacentral:rRNA from 1 species